AAACAAAUCUCUUUGGUUCUGGGAGUUAAUUGAAAGUUCAUUCAUAUUUCACAUGCGGGAGGUGAGUAAAAGAAAGAAAUCAGAUAAAUUUGAUAAGGUCAAAUUAAAAAUCACAGGUAAAAAGGAGAAUUUAUCUAAAGUAAAAUUAGACAGCAGUGUAGAAGUUUGGAAAAUAAGAUAAAAUUGAUCCAGUAGAAUGAAAUAAAAUAAAAGUAAGAUUUAAAUAGUUCUGACUAAUAUUAGUGCCAGCAGUCGCGGUAAAUCUAAAUAGAAUAAUUUCAAUUAAAGAUAAAAGGUUUAAAGAGUUUUAAGAUUAAAAAAUAUUAUAAUUAAUGAUUAUUUAAUAGAAUUUUUUUUUUUAACUUUAAAAAGUUUAUAAAAAAAGGAAUGAAAUUUUAAUUAAAUAAAAUAAUAUAUUAUUGAAGGACGAAGGCUAAAGUAACAAAAAAGAUUAGAUACCUAUGUAGUUUUAGCAAUAAACUAAGAAUACUAUAUAAAAUAUAAAGUAUUCCACCUGGAGAGUUAGGUAGCAAUGCUGAAAAUCUAAGAACUAGAGGGGGUUGUUUAUCGGUCGUGGAGGAUGGCCUUUAAUUGGAAAGUAAUCCAAUAAUCUUACCAAUUCAUAAUUAAACUGCAUGGCUGUCUAAAAAGAAUAAAUUAAAAGAAUUUUGGGAUCAAGUAUUAUGGUAAAAGAAUUGGGUAGAAUGCCAUCCAAUAAAAUCAAAAAAUAAGAUUAUAUUGAAUAAUUUUUUGGAAUAAAAAUUUGAAAUUAAAAUGACUAGUAUCUGGAGCACAGAGUGCUCUUGGGAAUAAACUGGACAACUUCUACUAACCGCCAGUCACAGGUUAUUUAACUAAACCUGAAGUCUUAACAAGGUGAUCUUAGGGGAACCUGAGGUUGAGAUUAA
rnacentral:rRNA from 1 species